ACUACAUGAAGCUGGAAUCGCUAGUAAUCGCAAAUCAGAAUGUUNCGGCGAAUACGUUCCCGGGCCUUGUACACACCGCCCGUCACACCAUGGGAGUUGGAAGCGCCCGAAGUCGAUGACCCAACCGUAAGGAGGGAGUCGCCGAAGGUGAAGCCAGUGACUGGGGUGAAGUCGUAACAAGGUAUC
rnacentral:rRNA from 1 species